AUUGAACGCUGGCGGCAGGCCUAACACAUGCAAGUCGAGCGGAUGAAGGGAGCUUGCUCCUGGAUUCAGCGGCGGACGGGUGAGUAAUGCCUAGGAAUCUGCCUGGUAGUGGGGGAUAACGUCCGGAAACGGGCGCUAAUACCGCAUACGUCCUGAGGGAGAAAGUGGGGGAUCUUCGGACCUCACGCUAUCAGAUGAGCCUAGGUCGGGUUAGCUAGUUGGUGGGGUAAAGGCCUACCAAGGCGACGAUCCGUAACUGGUCUGAGAGGAUGAUCAGUCACACUGGAACUGAGACACGGUCCAGACUCCUACGGGAGGCAGCAGUGGGGAAUAUUGGACAAUGGGCGAAAGCCUGAUCCAGCCAUGCCGCGUGUGUGAAGAAGGUCUUCGGAUUGUAAAGCACUUUAAGUUGGGAGGAAGGGCAGUAAGUUAAUACCUUGCUGGUUUGACGUUACCAACAGAAUAAGCACCGGCUAACUUCGUG
rnacentral:rRNA from 1 species